rnacentral:rRNA from 1 species
CUGAGUACGGCGGAACACGUGAAAUUCCGUCGGAAUCCGGGAGGACCAUCUCCCAAGGCUAAAUACUCCCUAGUGACCGAUAGUGAACCAGUACCGUGAGGGAAAGGUGAAAAGCACCCCGGAAGGGGAGUGAAACAGUUCCUGAAACCGUGUGCCUACAAGUAGUUAGAGCCCGUUAAUGGGUGAUAGCGUGCCUUUUGUAGAAUGAACCGGCGAGUUACGAUUUGUUGCAAGGUUAAGCGGAAAAAGCGGAGCCGUAGCGAAAGCGAGUCUGAAUAGGGCGCAUAAGUAACAGGUCGUAGACCCGAAACCAGGUGAUCUACCCAUGUCCAGGAUGAAGGUAAGGUAAUACUUACUGGAGGUCCGAACCCACGCACGUUGAAAAGUGCGGGGAUGAGGUGUGGGUAGCGGAGAAAUUCCAAUCGAACUUGGAGAUAGCUGGUUCUCUCCGAAAUAGCUUUAGGGCUAGCCUCGAGGUAAAGAGUCAUGGAGGUAGAGCACUGUUUGGACUAGGGGCCCUUCUCGGGUUACCGAAUUCAGAUAAACUCCGAAUGCCAUGUACUUAUACUCGGGAGUCAGACUGCGAGUGAUAAGAUCCGUAGUCGAAAGGGAAACAGCCCAGACCACCAGUUAAGGUCCCCAAAUAUAUGUUAAGUGGAAAAGGAUGUGGGGUUGCUUAGACAACCAGGAUGUUGGCUUAGAAGCAGCCACCAUUGAAAGAGUGCGUAAUAGCUCACUGGUCGAGUGACCCCGCGCCGAAAAUGUACCGGGGCUAAACAUAUUACCGAAACUGUGGAUGAACCUCUUUAGAGGUUCGUGGUAGGAGAGCGUUCUAAGGGCGGUGAAGUCAGACCGGAAGGACUGGUGGAGCGCUUAGAAGUGAGAAUGCCGGUAUGAGUAGCGAAAGAAGGGUGAGAAUCCCUUCCACCGAAUAUCUAAGGUUUCCUGAGGAAGGCUCGUCCGCUCAGGGUUAGUCGGGACCUAAGCCGAGGCCGAUAGGCGUAGGCGAUGGACAACAGGUAGAGAUUCCUGUACCAGUGCUAAUUGUUUAACCGAUGGGGUGACACAGAAGGAUAGGGAAUCGCACGAAUGGAAAUGUGCGUCCAAGCAGUGAGUGUGAGAAGUAGGCAAAUCCGCUUCUCGCGAAGCAUGAGCUGUGAUGGGGAAGGAAAUUAAGUACGGAAGUUCCUGAUUUCACGCUGUCAAGAAAAGCCUCUAGGAAGAGUAGUACUGCCCGUACCGCAAACCGACACAGGUAGAUGAGGAGAGAAUCCUAAGGUGAGCGAGAGAACUCUCGUUAAGGAACUCGGCAAAAUGACCCCGUAACUUCGGGAGAAGGGGUGCUCUAUUAGGGUGCAAGCCCGAGAGAGCCGCAGUGAAUAGGCCCAGGCGACUGUUUAGCAAAAACACAGGUCUCUGCAAAACCGUAAGGUGACGUAUAGGGGCUGACGCCUGCCCGGUGCUGGAAGGUUAAGAGGAGUGCUUAGCUUCGGCGAAGGUACGAAUUGAAGCCCCAGUAAACGGCGGCCGUAACUAUAACGGUCCUAAGGUAGCGAAAUUCCUUGUCGGGUAAGUUCCGACCCGCACGAAAGGCGCAACGAUCUGGGCACUGUCUCAACGAGAGACUCGGUGAAAUUAUAGUACCUGUGAAGAUGCAGGUUACCCGCGACAGGACGGAAAGACCCCGUGGAGCUUUACUGCAACCUGAUAUGGAAUGUUUGUACCGCUUGUACAGGAUAGGUAGGAGCCGAAGAGACGUGUGCGCUAGCAUACGAGGAGGCAAUGGUGGGAUACUACCCUGGCUGUAUGACCAUUCUAACCCGCCACGCUUAGCGCGUGGGGAGACAGUGUCAGGUGGGCAGUUUGACUGGGGCGGUCGCCUCCUAAAGAGUAACGGAGGCGCCCAAAGGUUCCCUCAGAAUGGAUGGAAAUCAUUCGCAGAGUGUAAAGGCACAAGGGAGCUUGACUGCGAGACUGACAAGUCGAGCAGGGACGAAAGUCGGGCUUAGUGAUCCGGUGGUUCCGCAUGGAAGGGCCAUCGCUCAACGGAUAAAAGCUACCCCGGGGAUAACAGGCUUAUCUCCCCCAAGAGUCCACAUCGACGGGGAGGUUUGGCACCUCGAUGUCGGCUCGUCGCAUCCUGGGGCUGUAGUCGGUCCCAAGGGUUGGGCUGUUCGCCCAUUAAAGCGGCACGCGAGCUGGGUUCAGAACGUCGUGAGACAGUUCGGUCCCUAUCCGUCGCGGGCGCAGGAAAUUUGAGAGGAGCUGUCCUUAGUACGAGAGGACCGGGAUGGACACACCGCUGGUGUACCAGUUGUUCCGCCAGGAGCAUCGCUGGGUAGCUAUGUGUGGCAGGGAUAAACGCUGAAAGCAUCUAAGCGUGAAGCCCCCCUCAAGAUGAGAUUUCCCAUUUCUUCGGAAAGUAAGAUCCCUGAAAGAUGAUCAGGUAGAU